rnacentral:rRNA from 1 species
CGCUGAAGCAUCUUCGGGUGUGGAUGAGUGGCGAACGGGUGAGUAACACGUGGGUAAUCUGCCCUGCACUCUGGGAUAAGCCUUGGAAACGGGGUCUAAUACCGGAUAUGACACUGGAUCGCAUGGUCUGGUGUGGAAAGUUCCGGCGGUGCAGGAUGAGCCCGCGGCCUAUCAGCUUGUUGGUGGGGUAGUGGCCUACCAAGGCGACGACGGGUAGCCGGCCUGAGAGGGUGACCGGCCACACUGGGACUGAGACACGGCCCAGACUCCUACGGGAGGCAGCAGUGGGGAAUCUUGCGCAAUGGGCGAAAGCCUGACGCAGCAACGCCGCGUGGGGGAUGACGGCCUUCGGGUUGUAAACCUCUUUCGACAUCGACGAAGGCCCCUUUGGGGUUGACGGUAGGUGUAGAAGAAGCACCGGCUAACUACGUGCCAGCAGCCGCGGUAAUACGUAGGGUGCAAGCGUUGUCCGGAUUUAUUGGGCGUAAAGAGCUCGUAGGCGGUUUGUUGCGUCGGCCGUGAAAACCUGCAGCUUAACUGUGGGCUUGCGGUCGAUACGGGCAGACUUGAGUUCGGUAGGGGAGACUGGAAUUCCUGGUGUAGCGGUGAAAUGCGCAGAUAUCAGGAGGAACACCGGUGGCGAAGGCGGGUCUCUGGGCCGAUACUGACGCUGAGGAGCGAAAGCGUGGGGAGCGAACAGGAUUAGAUACCCUGGUAGUCCACGCCGUAAACGUUGGGCGCUAGGUGUGGGGAUGGGUUCCACUGUUUCCGUGCCGUAGCUAACGCAUUAAGCGCCCCGCC